rnacentral:rRNA from 1 species
CCUGCCCAAUGAUUUAUUUAAUGGCCGCGGUAUUUUAACCGUGCAAAGGUAGCAUAAUCAUUAGCCUAUUAAUUGUAGGCUUGUAUGAAUGGUUGGACGAGAUAAUAACUGUCUCAUUUGUUUUUGUAGAAUUUAAUUUUUGAGUUAAAAAGCUCAAAUUUUUUUGUAGGACGAGAAGACCCUAUAGAUCUUUAUUUUUGGUAUUCUUUUUAUAUUUAGUUUAAGAUUUAUUUUUUAGUAUAUUUAUUAUUUUGUUGGGGUGACAUUGAGAUUUUAUUAACUCUUUAUUUUUUUUUUCAUUUAUUUAUGUUUAUUUGACCUUUUAUUAAUGUUAUAAGAUUUAGAUACCUUAGGGAUAACAGCGUUAUUUUUCUUGAGAGUUCUUAUCGACAGGGAAGAUUGCGACCUCGAUGUUGGAUUAAGAUUAUUGUCAGGUGUAGUGGCUU